AUAAUUUAUCUCUGUGUUGAAGCUAACGCGUUAAGCACUCCGCCUGGGGACUACGGUCGCAAGACUAAAACUCAAAGGAAUUGACGGGGACCCGCACAAGCGGUGGAGCAUGUGGUUUAAUUCGAUGCAACGCGAAAAACCUUACCACUCCUUGACAUGGAGAUUAGAUCCUUCUUAACGGAAGGGCGCAGUUCGGCUGGAUCUCGCACAGGUGCUGCAUGGCUGUCGUCAGCUCGUGUCGUGAGAUGUUGGGUUAAGUCCCGCAACGAGCGUAACCCUCAUCCUUAGUUGCCAGCGGGUUAUGCCGGGCACUUUAAGGAAACUGCCAGUGGUAAACUGGAGGAAGGUGGGGAUGAUGUCAAGUCAGCACGGCCCUUAUGGGGUGGGCUACACACGUGCUACAAUGGUGACUACAAUAGGUUGCGAUGUCGCAAGGCUGAGCUAAUCCGUAAAAGUCAUCUCAGUUCGGAUUGUCCUCUGUAACUCGAGGGCAUGAAGUCGGAAUCGCUAGUAAUCGUGGAUCAGCAUGCCACGGUGAAUACGUUCUCGGGUCUUGUACACACUGCCCGUCACGCCAUGGGAAUUGGCUUAACUCGAAGCUGGUGCGCUAACCGAAA
rnacentral:rRNA from 1 species